GGCGCCGGCGACCCCUUGACUUGAGUCUCUUUCCCUCCCCCACCCAGGAGCAGCCGUUGGCGAGCAGCCCCCGAGGCGGCUCCGAUCGCCGCGGGAAGCCUUUGCCCGGUCGCCAGGUGUAGGCGUCAUCGCCGCCCCUGCCCGCGAUGGAUGGGGGCCAGCAGGCUCUGCAUAGACAUGGCUGGAAGACAAAGGAGUGGGGCUGACUGGCGACGUAUCCGGGCCAUCCCACGUUCUGAUCCUGGUAAACGAAGAUGAGGCUACACCUUUAUUGGGAUCGUGUGUAGGCGAAGACGUUAAAGACCAUCGAUGAAGGAAGGUGUGAAGUGUGAAGCUGGCCAUCCGGUGCGGAGCCGGGCCCUGACAGGGAGAUCAUCUGUUUCCGUGAAGAAAUAGCAAGGCAAGUCAGUAAUUUGGUGUGUUUGUGAAUAAUCAGAAUGUAACCAGUGAUGUUAUGAUUCUGCCAAAUGAAAUAGAAUGAUAUCACUCAUAAAACCGUUCCAUUUUUAUGCUGAGGUUACUUGACUUGUAUUAGGAAUGCACUUGUUUCUUCCCCUUUAGUAAUUAGGUGUGAUGUUCACUUUUCAGGCAUGCUAGAGCAAUGAACCGUUGAAUGCCGUGGACCAUUGGACAGGUGAGGCUGCAUACUGUCAGGGACGUGGAUUUCUUCUGGAAUAUAUGAUGAUCUCAACUUGAACUCUCUCACUGACGACUUGAUGACAGCAAAUGAUCUGAUAUUCUGCAUUUAAAAAGUACCAUUCAAUUUGAAAUACAGAAAAGCAGUUCAACUUAGUUUUUUGUUCUUUGUAGGGGUCCGAGUGGAUCUUAAGGAUAAAAAUCUGACCUGGAUAAAAGUCGCAUCGAAUCUUAAUAAACUUUGAGCAAUC